rnacentral:rRNA from 1 species
CCCCUAGAUGUUCUGGGCCGCACGCGCGCUACACUGAACAGUUCAACAAGUCUUAACCUUGGCCGAUAGGUCUGGGUAAUCUUUGAACGCUGUUCGUGAUUGGGAUAGACCUUUGCAAUUAUGGGUCUUCAACGAGGAAUUCCUAGUAAACGCAAGUCAUCAGCUUGCAUUGAUUACGUCCCUGCCCUUUGUACACACCGCCCGUCGCACCUACCGAUUGAAUGGUCCGGUGAAAUCUCGGGACGGCGGCUUGGUCGCUUGCGUCCGACUGCUGAAACAUGAUUAAACCAUAUCAUUUAGAGGAAGGUGAAGUCGUAACA